GUGCUGGCUUCGGUGGCACAUGCACUAAGAUUGGAACGAUACAGAAGAUUAGCAUGGUCUCUGCACAAGGGCAGCACACAAAUUCCUGAAGCGUUCCAUAUUUUU